UAAUAUUUUUAAACAUUUUGAACAUAGUAGGUGGCUUACCAGAGUCGAAUAUGUCUUUUUAAAUACUGUAGAGAACUGUUUGUGAAUUGAGUCAAUUCCAUAGCUCGGCGACGAAAUAGAGGGAAUAGAGGAGAGAGAAUUAGCUAUUAGCAGUUCGUUUUACUCGUUAGACUGAUUGUUUAGAUAUUCGUGGCACACGAGUCGUAUACUUGUUUUGAUUCAGCCCCGUUCUGCGCUAGUGCGCCUAUAUUUUUAGACACCGUCUUUUGCGUGUUUAGUGUGCGGCCCUUCACUGGCAACAUGUUGAGUCUGUGCUAAUUGGCAGCAAGCCAGCGGCGCAGAUCGAGACGGCGAAUAGCCAAUAGAGAACACUGAAAAAUAUGUUCACUACACGCGAUACCCAAAGCAAAGCCAGUGCAAUAAGCAGCGCUGAUUUACGAGUGAGCGACAGUUGCAGCAC